GGAGUUGUGCCUGAAUUAAAGGACCACUUUGAUAGAGUGAACAAUGAGGGUUAAAGCCCCUCCAACUCCU
rnacentral:tRNA from 1 species